rnacentral:sRNA from 1 species
UUCCUUUAUUUGAGUAUCCUGAAAACGGGCUUUUCAGCAUAAAGGAAAUCAGUUAUUUUUUAUUAACAAAUAGGAGUGCAUAGUGGCCCGUAUCGCAGGCAUUAACAUUCCUGAU